GACGAACGCUGGCGGCGUGCUUAACACAUGCAAGUCGAACGGAAAGGCCCUGCUUUUGUGGGGUGCUCGAGUGGAGAACGGGUGAGUAACACGUGAGUAACCUGCCCUUGACUUUGGGAUAACUUCAGGAAACUGGGGCUAAUACCGGAUAGGAGCUCCUGCUGCAUGGUGGGGGUUGGAAAGUUUCGGCGGUUGGGGAUGGACUCGCGGCUUAUCAGCUUGUUGGUGGGGUAGUGGCUUACCAAGGCUUUGACGGGUAGCCGGCCUGAGAGGGUGACCGGCCACAUUGGGACUGAGAUACGGCCCAGACUCCUACGGGAGGCAGCAGUGGGGAAUAUUGCACAAUGGGCGGAAGCCUGAUGCAGCAACGCCGCGUGCGGGAUGACGGCCUUCGGGUUGUAUACCGCUUUCGCCUGUGACGAAGCGUGAGUGACGGUAAUGGGUAAAGAAGCACCGGCUAACUACGUG
rnacentral:rRNA from 1 species